rnacentral:rRNA from 1 species
UACGUAGGGUGCGAGCGUUAAUCGGAAUUACUGGGCGUAAAGCGUGCGCAGGCGGUCUGUUAGGACCGAUGUGAAAUCCCCGGGCUUAACCUGGGAACUGCAUUAGUGACUGGCAGGCUUUGAGUGUGGCAGAGGGAGGUAGAAUUCCACGUGUAGCAGUGAAAUGCGUAGAGAUGUGGAGGAAUACCGAUGGCGAAGGCAGCCUCCUGGGCCAACACUGACGCUCAUGCACGAAAGCGUGGGGAGCAAGCAGG